UACGAAGGGGACUAGCGUUGUUCGGAAUCACUGGGCGUAAAGCGCACGUAGGCGGAUGUGUCAGUCAGGGGUGAAAUCCCGGGGCUCAACCUCGGAACUGCCUCUGAUACAGCACAUCUUGAGUCCGGAAGAGGUGGGUGGAAUUCCUAGUGUAGAGGUGAAAUUCGUAGAUAUUAGGAAGAACACCGGUGGCGAAGGCGGCCCACUGGUCCGGUACUGACGCUGAGGUGCGAAAGCGUGGGGAGCAAACAGG
rnacentral:rRNA from 1 species